GGACGAACGCUGGCGGCGUGCUUAACACAUGCAAUUCGAACGGAAAGGCCCUUCUUUUGUGGGGUGCUCGAUUGGCGAACGGGUGAGUAACACGUGAGUAACCUGCCCUUGACUUUUGGAUAACUUCAGGAAACUGGGGCUAAUACCGGAUAGGAUCUCCUGCUUCUUGGUUGGGGUUGGUAAGUUUCGGCGGUUGGGGAUUGACUCGCUGCUUAUCAGCUUGUUGGUGGGGUAGUGGCUUACCAAGUCUUUGACGGGUAGCCGGCCUGCGAGGGUGACCGGCGACAAUGGGACUGAGAGACGGCCCAGAAUGCAACGGGAGGCAGCAGAGGGGAAUAUUGCACAAUGGGAGGAAGCCAGAUGCAGCAACGCAGCGUGCGGGAUGACGGCCUUCGGGUUGUAAACCGAUUUCGCAUGAGACGAAGCGUGAGUGACGGUAAUGGGUAAAGAAGCACCGGCUAACUACGUG
rnacentral:rRNA from 1 species